AUUCCUUAAAAAUGUUCCAGAAUUUUGGUUUGAUAUAUAACUCUUGCCAAAAUUCACAAAACUAUUUUUAGGGCGUUUUGGAUUCACAGAAUGCUAUUUAAAGGGUGCUUGCCCUUCUUUUAAUCAGAUUUCUGAGGUUUCAACAAUCCUCAAUUCAAGUUUCAGAAAUUUAAACAUGAUGCAAGCAAGAUGCAAACACUAGGCAACACCAGAAGCUAGGGAUGUGACAGCUCACCCCUACUAAACAAGAAUCUCGUCCCGAGAUUCAAGUCGUGAGGUAAGAAGACAGAGGGACACAAGCUAUCACAAUCUUCAUGAUCCAGAUGUCUUUCUCGAGGAUGUUGAUUCAUUGCAUCACCUUGAUCUCGACGUCUUGCUUUGAGAACUACAUCCAACAUGACAAUGAGUGGAAAGGGAGAAUUUAAGAAGAAUCGACCUUCCUGAGGUUCGAGCAACUUAGGAUCAUCUUAAUGAUCACAAGAUCAACUCAUGGAAUGAGACAUAGUAACAUCUCUCGAGCUGAGACACGAAGCAUACACCUAGAGGGAUGGAGUGAAACGGAUGGCGAAGGUUCACUAGGUAGGCAACAAUUCUACUCGAAUAAGAUGGAGCAUGAAUUUCAAAGUAGCAAGGAGAUAUUUGCCAUGAUUUCGUAACGUGAUACCUCAGGGAAGGUGACUCAUAGAAUUAUUCCCUUAAGUGGCAAAAAGAAUUACUUUUGAUUCGGAGAUCAUUGAAACUCUUUAUACCAGCCUAAGGCAAUCACAAUCGAUCAUUUGAAGGAGUUCAAAAGAAUGACAUACUUGGACUAGAAAGGAUGAUGUGGACUCCCUUGUUGAAGACAACGCAAUGGAUGAUUUUGCUUAUCAUCGGAAAUGGAUGGGACCCAUGGUAAGUCCACUUUUGAAGAUGAUCCUGAACAACAACUACUGAGGUGCAAGCUGGGAACAAAAUGCAAAUGUUGGGAAUGAUUCUAGUAACUGGGGAAGAACUCAACAGUCGAGAGUGAGUCCAUUGUUUGAAAAGGUUAUAACAUAACCAAGGAAACUGGAAGCAAAUCCCAGUUGACGCCAACGGUAAAACCUAGUGCUCGCGCGUGCUCUCAAGAACUUGAGCAUCUCCAUAUUCAUCAAGGUUUUACCAAUAUCCGUGUCAAGGAUCCUGGCAACACAACAUACCACCAUGAUGAAUGGUGAUGGAUGAUGCAGAUGCAAAGGAAGAUAACACUUUCUCAGAUUUCACCUUAGCGAGGCCAAGGGAACAAAAUCUGGAUGAUCGACCGAGAGACAUUUAGCACUCCGCUUCUAAUGUUCUCCUUGAUGUGCUAGGAUAACCCAUUUAUUGAUAUGGUUUGGUAUCUAGGACAUCAAGUAAAAGGUCGAAGUUCGGGAGCACAAGAAUUCGUAAGGAUUAACUAUGGAGGUAAAUCCUAUGAAAUCCUCAUGGGGAGGUGGCCAACUUUCUUCAAUCGAGAUACUACAAUAAUAGGUCUUCCGGCUGGAUGUGUUGGCCACAACAUCCACUUUACCGGUUAUCGAGGGACCAAUAUUAUAGUUCUUGGAAAAUGCUCCAACCAUCAUAUCUGCCUGAGAUUCAGAUUUGGUUGGUGUUAGGAUAUUCCAGACUCAUCGAGUCUAGAAAGGAAAAUGAAAGUUUGCAACACAAAUCGACGAGACAACAUUGCGAGAUUCUCGGGGAAUGAACUGCGAUAGCAAGCUCCAAAACAUGAGCUAGUUCUGCUAUAACAUGUGAACACGUUGUCCCAGACAAGUAUGACCACAUAGUAGUCUUAUAAUAAAACACUACCGAGUUCUGGUGGGGAACUAUCAUUGAGGAUAUCGAAAUCUUGUGCAUGACCUAGGAUAGCACAACAACUCCUUUUCCUGGAACAGGUCAAUCAGUGGUUUAGUGUGCUAUGGAAUUUAUAUGGAAUGAAGAUGAUCAGUCCAUCAGACCAUGGAAUACUUCACACGUGCAUGACUGACUUGGGAUGAUUCCAGAGGAAGCAAAACUAACUUUCUCGAACUCACGGCGGCAACUUGCACCAAAUGCACGUGAAUCAGAGGAAGUCACUUCUUUCAUCCAACAUAUGCUUCAUGAGCUAGCAUGAAGAGAUGCUUUCAAAAGUUUCCAACACUCGCUUAAUGUUCGACAAAAUCAUGGAGAGGACAUGGAUGUUGUCGAUGGGCUCAACAACAGUUCAUCUAGGUUUCCAUAUAAAUGGAAUUCCAUAAUUAAGUGAACACGGUGAUAGCAUUGGUCAGACCCAAAGAAUAUAAUGAUGUAUGCUCGAGGAAUCAACCACGAGUAAGACAACAUUACGAAUAUCGUUGGUUCUGAUUUGAUUUGACGAUAGCCCACACUCAAAUCAAAGUUUGGGUAAGACAAUAGCACCGACAAUUGAUCACGAGGAUCAAUUGCUGAAGAUAUCAUCUUUCUUCAACACACACGCAAGAUAUCCCUUUGGAAUGGACUGAGUCGGACAAGUUUUUAUCUUUCAACUCUCCAAGUUGUUGUUUAGCUUAACGAACUUGCUCAGGGUAUUCGACACAGAUUCUUGGAGAAAGGACGGUUUGGAGGAAAACCAACAUGAUCACAAACUCAACAUAGCGGGCAGGUGACAACCUGGUAAUACUUCCAAGAAGAUAUUCAGAACAUCACGAACCACCGAUAUGUUACUAAGCUCAAGAACAAUCUUGCUUUUCAGGGCAAGACAAUGUGAUCAGGAGAGUGAUGGAUUGACACACUCCUAACUCAUUGGUCGAAGAGUGCACCAGAAACACUGAUUAGGUAGCACAAUCUACCUUAGAACGAUGAUUCAAUAACCAACAUGCUAAUAAUGAAGUUAUUGUCCUUUAACUACCAAGCAACGGGGUUGCUAGGAGUAUUGAUUUCACACAUCACGAUUCACUUGUCGACAUUCCGGUUGCAACAACACGGAAACCGAGAAAUGAAUAAUGAUGGAGAGAGUAUCACUACGUCAAGAAUUCAUAAGAGGUGGUGCAAUUCUCAUGACAUUCUUGACAUAAGACGGUAAUUCUUCAGGAUAGAACAUAAUCAAAAGCUGGGUUGGCAUUUGAUCUGCGGAAUACAACUGCUUUGACCCAAUCCAAAAAAAUGGAUAAGGUACCAGAGUUUGGUUCUCCUAGUCAUUCUGAACUAGAAUGGCUUGACGGACCACAAGAAUAGUAAACAUCGAUAACACGGAUGCACAAUUACUCUUGAUCAACAAUUGACAGACGAAGGUCAGAUAACAGCUAAAGAGGGACAACUCAAAGUAACAUAUAUCUUUCUGAGUUGUAGAUGCAUCGAUUAGCAUGUCGAACGCGUUCAACAUAAUUCUUCCGGAUAACCCAUGCAGAAGGGUAGAGCUGGCAGAGUCACAAUAUAGAAUCGAGAACUCAUCAAGAGCUUUGGUCGUGAUCUUUGGUUCAAGAACUUCUGCCAUAUUGGUUCAUGGUACUGGAAGAAUGAUGUACCAUGAACCUCAAGGUCUAUCACAAGGUUUACUAAUGUCCUAAGGAACUAGCAAACACUAUCAACAUGAAGCAAGUAGGGUGAGUCUCGGGUUCAAAACCCAGGAAUAGAAUGCCUACUAACUAAAUGGCAUCACGGGAUGCUUUCAAGAAUAACGGCCAGAAUCAUCACACUGGAAACGCAAAACAUGGUUCGAUUACUAGGUGGCACUAAGACAUCUAGGGUCAUAAUAAUAAUUCCAACAUAUAUGUCGAGGAAAUAGAAUACCUCAACUCACAAUUAGUGUGAUUAACCUGGCCUAGAGGAACAUCGAAAACCAGAGGGAAAGGAUUUUGCAAAUGCAUCAGAUUGUUUGGAAACCUGGGACGACUCGGACAGCAUAACGACUGUAAAUGCUCAAAAAGUUUUGAGACAUCCUGCAAAUUGGUGGCAUAACCACUCAGAAGCACAAUAUCAAGGUUCCGAGACCAACUAUGAACAAACGGAAGUAGUAGGAACUGAACUGAGGCUUAAAUCCAUCAAUCCUAUAAGUCUCUAUCAUAGUAACUCGUCAUCCUGAAGAUAGAUGAGAAGGCCUAGUUCUUAAUCCCCGUAGAAGAGAAGAGGUUGACUUAGAUCAGAAGGCCAUGAGGUAUAAGAAGUGAAUAGAGCCUUACGUUCCCUUCCACAAUCAAUUCCCUUAUAUGACUAAAGCAUUUCUAGUCUCAACUUCGACCAGUAUGGCUUGGUAAUCCUACAGGCAGUCAGGCUCUGAUACCAAAGCUGUCAAGACCCCGAUCCUAAGUCACACCGGUCUAGCAUGUAACACAUCAUAUCACUUUGCAGCCUCACGCAUGGUAUUCCCACGGGUGCCACCUUACCUGGCCCGGGACCGUUUGCGCCUUUUGGCUCGCGUAUAUGAUAGUGUCGCUAGCAUCCAUAUGACAAAGAACCUGGGCCGACAUGGCUAGUCGUGAACCCAAAGCGGCACUAACCCAUGGGGACAGGCAUACAUGAAUCAACCUCGAGCAUGUCGGUCAACAGCGUGUGAAUCCGGGCUAUAGCACUGGGCUAACAGGACUCUGGUAACCCGGGCUGUAGCAGGCUAGGCAGGACUCCGGAUGUCACCGCGUGACAUUUCCCCGAAGGGACAGACACAGGAGCGAAGUGAAACACAUGCCGGCCAGUCAAGUGUCCUGAGCAGUAGUGCUGGGCUAGCAGGACUCCGGUGAACCGGGCUGUAGCGGACUACUAUGGCUCAUGGAAGCACUAGACUACAUUUCCCCAUAAGAGAGGCUGCCAAGGAUAAACAACUAGAUUGUCGGAUCCCACACAUACCAAGCAUUUCAAUCAUACACACAAUAUGCUCGAUAUGUGUAAAUACAACAUGGCAUCACAACAAGACUCUACGACUCAAGUAUUUAUUCAUUAGGCUCCGAGGAGCGAGAUAUUACAAACAAGGGUCUCAUGACCCAACAUUCAGAGCAUACAAGUCAAAACACAUGCGGAAGCUUAACAUGUCUGAGUACAAACAUCUACAAAUGAAAAAGGCUGACAAGCCUGACUAUCUACCAGAUCCUGCUGAGGGCACAAGAUCGUAGCUGAGGUAUCAAGCUAAACAUCGAAGUCCAAGCGGAACUACUAGCGGGACUGAAGUCUCUCUGCAAAACAUAAAUUAAGCAAACGUGAGUACAAAUGUACUCAGCAAGACUUACAUUAGAACUAACUACAUAUGCAUCAUUAUCAAUGAAGGGAUGGUGGAGUUUAACUGCAGCAAGCCAGCUUUGACUCGGUGGCUAUCCUGAACUACGACUGCAAGUAACUCUUCUGAGGUGGCGCACACGAGUCCACAUAUUCACCAUAUCAAUACACCACUAUGGAUCCGCUCCCGUCUCCCUGCGAGAACGCCAUCCAUAGCACUCACACUUAUCUUGCGCAUUUUAGAGUAUCCACUUUCGCUUGUCUAUGAACUAUGCAAGGGGUCGAAGUUUCCAUAUCCAAGGAAUCCGGCUAUUCGAAUAGAUAAUGAUAACCCUGCAGGGGUGUACUUCUUCACACACGCUCUCUCCACUUAUCGCCAUGUACACGUCAUGUACCUCGGCAACCUUCAAGCGGAAGUCGGGCGAGGGAGUCGGCCACGACCUGACUAACCCACAAGUCACUAGUCCAGGUUUAUCGCCUAUUUGGGUUCCAUCCGCAAGGAGAUCCAGCCGGGGUGUCACUCACGGCCCCAAACGAUGUGAGCAGGAUUCCCAAGCCCACCAUCUGGGUGCCACUUGGUACACCGUGCCACAGUGCCUAGUCUGUCCCAAGCCCACCUGUACCGGGUGCCACUUGGUAGACUACUAACACUACCUACAAACACCAGAAACUAGUUGCAACUCUUGGACAGAGAUCGAGUUGAUUAAUAAGCCGAGAGGGGCCGAGUUACCGGAACCCAAUGUCUGGUAGUAACUGUUCAUGGAUCACAAACACAGGACUCAGUUCCUGAGGACGGCUGCAAUGAGACAACCCACCAUGUACUCCUACAUGGCCUCUCACCGCUACCUUUACCAAAUCGUGUUCACACACUUAGCUCUCAACGGUAGGACAUGUUCACCACGUUCCAAUUCAUUCCCGAUGAAUCAGACCGGACUCAACUCUAAGCAGUAGCAGGCAUGACAACAAGCAUGAAUGAGUAGGCACAUCAGGGCUCAAACAAUUCCUACUCAUGCUAGUGGGUUUCAUCUAUUUACUGUGGCAAUGAUAGGUCAUGCCGAGGAAAAGGGUUCAGCUACCGCAACAUGUAACAGUUGAAACGGUGUUGUACUAAUGCAGUAAAAGAGAGCAGGAGCAAGAGAGUGGGAUUGUAUCAGAAUGAACAAGGGGGUUUUGCUUGCCUGGCACUUCUUAAGAUAGUAUAGUUCUUCGUCGGUGUCAUCGAUCAAUUUACCGGAACGUCAUCUACUGAGAGGGGACAAACACCGGCAACAAAGAGGAAACACAAUCAAUGCAAUGCAACAAUAUGAUGCAUGAAUGUGACAUGGCAAUAAUGUUAUGAUUUGCACUAAUGCAUCUAGCAACAAUUUAAAUGAAGUCCAUAUGGACCAAGGGUUCAUAUGCAAACUCGAUAUUUAGCAUUUAAAAUGCCAUUAUCAUGUUUUCACUUAUACAGUGGGCAGAAGUUGGUUGAUCAUGCAUGAAAGUAGCAUAAAUGGAUAGAUUGUAUUUUUCUAAUAAUUUUUCCUAUAUAAAUUAUUUCAUUUGGAGUUACGGUUGAAUUUCUAUGAUUUUUAGAAGUUUUAACUAUUUUCGGGAAUUUACUGAUUAUUAAUAAAUCUAGAAAAUGUAUUACUGCGUCAGCAUUGGGUCAUGCUGACGUCAGCAGGUCAACAGGAGCCUUCCAGGUCAAACCUGUGGGGCCAGGUCAACGUUGACGUGGCAUGGUCAACUGAUGUGUGGCGCCGGCCGUCUUAAUCUAAACUAAACAGAAAAUAACUCUGGGGUUAGUUAGGCGUGGGGCCCAGCAGUCGGUGUCACCAGGGGGUAAUUAGCGGAGAUGUUAGCGGCUAACGAUGUUGACCGUCAGCACACCGGAGUUUUGGCCGGCGGUGACCUCAAACCGCGGCGGCGUCCGCCGGAGUUGCGCCAGAGGCGACGGGUCGACACGUCGAGGUCAACAGGAGGUAGCCCGUGCCCGCGCACAUCCAGGGGAACCAACAGAAGGGCGCGGGGUGGCCGGAGUUCACCGGAAGCGAGCUCGUGGCGGCGGCCGGAGUUCGGGAGCAGAUGGUUUCGGGGCAAGAGAGCAUGGGAGGGGGAGAUACUGGUGGCUACGGGUUCGCGGAGACGCGCUGAGCACACUGGUGUGCUCGGACACAGGCUACAGUGCCCAUGGCCGCGGCGAGGAGCUGACGGCUUCCGUGGAAGAUGCGGCUAGAGGACGGGAACGAGGGCGUCUCUGUGGCACGGCUGGAAGCACCGAGAUGCCGUGAGGUGGCAAGCAGGAGGUGGAGCUCCUGUGUGCGAUGCUGCUGGCACGCAGCUGCUUCGGGGCGAGGGGAGGAAGACGACGGGGAGGUGGAGGUGGGCUGGGCCGGUACGGUAGCGGGCCGCGUAGGUGGGCUGGCCUCUCUGGUGGGCUUCACAGGUGAGGCCAGGUAAAAACUGCUCUGUUUUAUUAUCUGUGUUGUUUUCCUUUUAUUUAAUCAUUUUGCCACUGAUUCAAAAUCACAAGUAAAUCAAAGCAGGGCAAAACCUUCUGAAUAUUUGUAUGUUGCCAUUAUGGACUAUUCCAAAGGCACAUAAAUAAUUUUAGGGCCUUUUAAAAUAUAUUCUAUAUAAUUGAAUAUAAUCCAAAAGUCAAAUACUUAUUGAUUUAAAUUCAGAGUCCCAAAAAUAAUUCCUUAAAAAUGUUCCAGAAUUUUGGUUUGAUAUAUAACUCUUGCCAAAAUUCACAAAACUAUUUUUAGGGCAUUUUGGAUUCACAUAAUGCUAUUUAAAGGGUGCUUGCCCUUCUUUUAAUCAGAUUUCUGAGGUUUCAACAAUCCUUAAUUCAAGUUUCAGAAAUUUAAACAUGAUGCAAGCAAGAUGCAAACACUAGGCAACACCAGAAGCU
rnacentral:lncRNA from 1 species